rnacentral:rRNA from 1 species
GUAAUGACUCUCGGCAACGGAUAUCUCGGCUCUCGCAUCGAUGAAGAACGUAGCGAAAUGCGAUACUUGGUGUGAAUUGCAGAAUCCCGUGAACCAUCGAGUCUUUGAACGCAAGUUGCGCCCGAAGCCAUCAGGCUAAGGGCACGUCUGCCUGGGCGUCACAC